rnacentral:rRNA from 1 species
UGGAUCAGUGGCGAACGGGUGAGUAACACGUGGGCAAUCUGCCCUGCACUCUGGGACAAGCCCUGGAAACGGGGUCUAAUACCGGAUAUGACCACUGACCGCAUGGUUGGUGGUGGAAAGCUCCGGCGGUGCAGGAUGAGCCCGCGGCCUAUCAGCUUGUUGGUGGGGUGAUGGCCUACCAAGGCGACGACGGGUAGCCGGCCUGAGAGGGCGACCGGCCACACUGGGACUGAGACACGGCCCAGACUCCUACGGGAGGCAGCAGUGGGGAAUAUUGCACAAUGGGCGAAAGCCUGAUGCAGCGACGCCGCGUGAGGGAUGACGGCCUUCGGGUUGUAAACCUCUUUCAGCAGGGAAGAAGCGCAAGUGACGGUACCUGCAGAAGAAGCACCGGCUAACUACGUGCCAGCAGCCGCGGUAAUACGUAGGGUGCGAGCGUUGUCCGGAAUUAUUGGGCGUAAAGAGCUCGUAGGCGGCUUGUCGCGUCGGAUGUGAAAGCCCGGGGCUUAACCCCGGGUCUGCAUUCGAUACGGGCAGGCUAGAGUUCGGUAGGGGAGAUCGGAAUUCCUGGUGUAGCGGUGAAAUGCGCAGAUAUCAGGAGGAACACCGGUGGCGAAGGCGGAUCUCUGGGCCGAUACUGACGCUGAGGAGCGAAAGCGUGGGGAGCGAACAGGAUUAGAUACCCUGGUAGUCCACGCCGU